rnacentral:rRNA from 1 species
UACAGAGGGUGCAAGCGUUAAUCGGAAUUACUGGGCGUAAAGCGUGCGUAGACGGUUACAUAAGUCGGGUGUGAAAGCCCCGGGCUCAACCUGGGAAUGGCAUUGGAAACUGGCGAGCUAGAGUGUGGCAGAGGGGGGUGGAAUUCCGCGUGUAGCAGUGAAAUGCGUAGAGAUGCGGAGGAACACCGAUGGCGAAGGCAGCCCCCCUGGGCUGACACUGACGCUCAGGCACGAAAGCGUGGGGAGCAAACAGG